UGAGGAAUAUUGGACAAUGGGCGCAAGCCUGAUCCAGCCAUGCCGCGUGCAGGAUGACGGUCCUAUGGAUUGUAAACUGCUUUUGCACAGGAAGAAACACCCCUACGUGUAGGGACUUGACGGUACUGUGAGAAUAAGGAUCGGCUAACUCCGUGCCAGCAGCCGCGGUAAUACGGAGGAUCCAAGCGUUAUCCGGAAUCAUUGGGUUUAAAGGGUCCGUAGGCGGUCUUAUAAGUCAGUGGUGAAAUCUCCCCGCUCAACGGGGAAACGGCCAUUGAUACUGUAAGACUUGAAUUAUUAGGAAGUAACUAGAAUAUGUAGUGUAGCGGUGAAAUGCUUAGAGAUUACAUGGAAUACCAAUUGCGAAGGCAGGUUACUACUAAUGGAUUGACGCUGAUGGACGAAAGCGUGGGUAGCGAACAGG
rnacentral:rRNA from 1 species